rnacentral:rRNA from 1 species
AUUGAACGCUAGCGGGAUGCUUUACACAUGCAAGUCGAACGGCAGCGCGGACUUCGGUCUGGCGGCGAGUGGCGAACGGGUGAGUAAUGUAUCGGAACGUGCCCAGUAGCGGGGGAUAACUACGCGAAAGCGUAGCUAAUACCGCAUACGCCCUACGGGGGAAAGCAGGGGAUCGUAAGACCUUGCACUAUUGGAGCGGUCGAUAUCGGAUUAGCUAGUUGGUGAGGUAACGGCUCACCAAGGCGACGAUCCGUAGCUGGUUUGAGAGGACGACCAGCCACACUGGGACUGAGACACGGCCCAGACUCCUACGGGAGGCAGCAGUGGGGAAUUUUGGACAAUGGGGGCAACCCUGAUCCAGCCAUCCCGCGUGUGAGAUGAAGGCCUUCGGGUUGUAAAGCACGUUUGGCAGGAAAGAAACGUCGCGGGCUAAUACCCCGUGGAACUGACGGUACCUGCAGAAUAAGCACCGGCUAACUACGUG